AUUGAACGCUGGCGGCAUGCCUUACACAUGCAAGUCGAACGGUAACAGGUCUUCGGAUGCUGACGAGUGGCGAACGGGUGAGUAAUACAUCGGAACGUGCCUAGUAGUGGGGGAUAACUACUCGAAAGAGUGGCUAAUACCGCAUGAGAUCUACGGAUGAAAGCAGGGGAUCGCAAGACCUUGUGCUACUAGAGCGGCCGAUGGCGGAUUAGGUAGUUGGUGGGAUAAAAGCUUACCAAGCCGACGAUCUGUAGCUGGUCUGAGAGGACGAUCAUCCACACUGGGACUGAGAAACGGCCCAGACUCCUCCGGGAGGCAGCAGUGGGGAAUUUUGGACAACGGGCGCAAGCCUGAUCCAGCAAUGCCGCGUGCAGGAUGAAGGCCUUCGGGUUGUAAACUGCUUUUGUACGGAACGAAAAGCCCCGGGUUAAUACCCUGGGGUCAUGACGGUACCGUAAGAAUAAGCACCGGCUAACUACGUGCCAGCCGCCGCAGUAA
rnacentral:rRNA from 1 species